rnacentral:rRNA from 1 species
UACGGAAGGCAGCAGGUGGGGAAUAUUGCACAAUGGGCGAAAGCCUGAUGCAGCUAUGCCGCGUGUAUGAAGAAGGCCUUAGGGUUGUAAAGUACUUUCAUCGGGGAGGAAAAAACAAAACUAAUAAUUUUAUUUCUUGACGUUACCCGAAAAAGAAGCACCGGCUAACUCCGUGCCAGCAGCCGCGGUAAUACGGAGGGUGCUAGCGUUAAUCAGAAUUACUGGGCGUAAAGAGCACGUAGGUGGUUUUUUAAGUCAGAUGUGAAUCCCUGGGCUUAACCUAGGAACUGCAUUUUGAAACUGAAAUACUAGAGUAUCGUAGAGGGAGGUAGAAUUCUAGGUGUAGCGGUGAAAUGCGUAGAUAUCUGGAGGAAUACCUGUGGCGAAAGCGGCCUCCUAAACGAAUACUGACACUGAGGUGCGAAAGCGUGGGGAGCGAAACAGGGAUUAGAUACC